rnacentral:rRNA from 1 species
AGGACGUGAAACCGAUAGGAUGGAAGCAGAUGAAGUUGACGAACGAGUGUCGUAUUCAGGGUUGCAUCUUGUGUGCGGUCUGUUCUUGCGACCGAUGUGGGCUGGCGGCUUUGGUCAAUGCACUGUGUCAAGUUUCGAUGGAGACCCUGCGGAGGGAUAAUCGGUCGUUGCACGAUACGUGGUAUGGCUAAGGCUUAUCGCCGGUCUUGAAGUCAGCGCCUCAUCUGACCCGUCUUGAAACACGGACCAAGGAGUGUAGCGUUUGCGCAAGUCUUAGAGUGUGUCAAAACUUUGAGGCGUAACGAAAGUAAAUGUAGCUUCGAUCUACUGACUUGGGAUACGUUGUCUCGUGUGGACGGCGUUGGACCAUGGUUUUAUCGCGAUCGCUUGCGAUGCGGUGAAAAUAGAGCGUAAACGGUGCGACCCGAAAGAUGGUGAACUAUGCCUGAGCAGGAUGAAGCCGGAGGAAACUCUGGUGGAAGUCCGAAGCGGUUCUGACGUGCAAAUCGAUCGUCUGACUUGGGUAUAGGGGCGAAAGACUAAUCGAACCAUCUAGUAGCUGGUCCC